CCUACGGGAGACAGCAGUGGGGAAUAUUGGGCAAUGGGCGCAAGCCUGACCCAGCAACGCCGCGUGAAGGAAGACGGCUUUCGGGUUGUAAACUUCUUUUGUCAGGGACGAAGCAAGUGACGGUACCUGACGAAUAAGCCACGGCUAACUACGUGCCAGCAGCCGCGGUAAUACGUAGGUGGCAAGCGUUAUCCGGAUUUACUGGGUGUAAAGGGCGUGUAGGCGGGGAGGCAAGUCAGAUGUGAAAACCACGGGCUCAACCUGUGGCCUGCAUUUGAAACUGGUUUUCUUGAGUGCUGGGGAGGCAAUCGGAAUUCCGGGUGUAGCGGUGAAAUGCGUAGAUAUACGGAGGAACACCAGUGGCGAAGGCGGAUUGCUGGACAGUAACUGACGCUGAGGCGCGAAGGCGUGGGGAGCAAACAGGAUUAGAUACCCUAGUAGUC
rnacentral:rRNA from 1 species